AUUGAACGCUGGCGGCAUGCCUUACACAUGCAAGUCGAACGCGAAAGGGGCGAACCCGACGUAGAGUGGCGAACGGGUGAGCAAUACAUCGGAACACGUCCUGUAGCGGGGGACGAACCCCGACGAAAUCGGGGCGUAAUACCGCAUACGAUCCAAGGAUGAAAGUGGGGGACCGGCAAGGCCUCACACUAUAGGAGUGGCCGAUGCCGGAUUAGCUAGUUGGCGGGGUAAUAGCCCACCAAGGCUACGAUCCGUAGCUGGUUUGAGAGAACGACCAGCCACACUGGGACUGAGACACGGCCCAGACUCCUACGGGAGGCAG
rnacentral:rRNA from 1 species